rnacentral:rRNA from 1 species
GGUUAAGCGACUAAGCGUACACGGUGGAUGCCCUGGCAGUCAGAGGCGAUGAAGGACGUGCUAAUCUGCGAAAAGCGCCGGCGAGGUGAUAUGAACCUUUGACCCGGCGAUGUCCGAAUGGGGAAACCCAGUGCAAUCCGUUGCACUAUCGUUAACUGAAUACAUAGGUUAACGAGGCGAACCGGGGGAACUGAAACAUCUAAGUACCCCGAGGAAAAGAAAUCAACCGAGAUUCCCCCAGUAGCGGCGAGCGAACGGGGAG